rnacentral:piRNA from 1 species
CCCCUUCUGAUUGGUGUCUUUCGCACUGCA